rnacentral:rRNA from 1 species
GGCAGAGGAGCCAAGCGUUGUCCGGAUUGACUGGGCGUAAAGCGCACGCAGGCGGUCGCGCGCGUGGGGUGUGAAAUCUGGCCGCUUAACGGCCAGGCGCCAUCCCAUACGGCGCGACUGGAGUGAUGCAGAGGUCGAUGGAAUUGCCGGUGUAGUGGUGAAAUGCGUAGAGAUCGGCAGGAACACCCAGGGGGAAACCAGUCGACUGGGCAUCUACUGACGCUGAGGUGCGAGAGCGUGGGGAGCGAACCGG